rnacentral:rRNA from 1 species
CUACGGGGCGCAGCAGUGAGGAAUAUUGCACAAUGGGGGGAACCCUGAUGCAGCAACGCCGCGUGGAGGAUGACGCAUUUCGGUGUGUAAACUCCUUUUAUAUGUCAAGAAAAUGACGGUAGCAUAUGAAUAAGCACCGGCUAACUCCGUGCCAGCAGCCGCGGUAAUACGGAGGGUGCAAGCGUUACUCGGAAUCUCUGGGCGUAAAGGACGCGUAGGCGGGUUGGAAAGUCAGGUGUGAAAUCCUACAGCUUAACUGUAGAACUGCACUUGAAACUUCUAAUCUAGAGUAUGGGAGGGGGAGAUGGAAUUAGUGGUGUAGGGGUAAAAUCCGUAGAUAUCACUAGGAAUACCUAAAGCGAAGGCGAUCUCCUGGAACAUUACUGACGCUAAGGCGUGAAAGCGUGGGGAGCAAACAGGAUUAGAUACCCGCGUAGUC